GACGAACGCUGGCGGCGUGCCUAACACAUGCAAGUCGAACGGAGAUACGAUUUCGGUUGUAUCUUAGUGGCGAACGGGUGAGUAACGCGUGAGCAACCUGACCUUUAGAGGGGGAUAACACUUGGAAACAGGUGCUAAUACCGCAUAAGACCACGACCUGACAUCAGGAUGAGGUCAAAGGAGCAAUCCGCUAAAGGAGGGGCUCGCGUCCCAUUAGAUAGAUGGCGGGGUAACGGCCCACCAUGUCGACGAUGGGUAGCCGAGCUGAGAGGCUGAUCGGCCACACUGGAACUGAGACACGGUCCAGACUCCUACGGGAGGCAGCAGUGGGGAAUAUUGGGCAAUGGGCGCAAGCCUGACCCAGCAACGCCGCGUGAGGGAAGAAGG
rnacentral:rRNA from 1 species